AGUGAACGCUGGCGGUAGGCCUAACACAUGCAAGUCGAACGGCAGCACAGUAAGAGCUUGCUCUUACGGGUGGCGAGUGGCGGACGGGUGAGGAAUACAUCGGAAUCUACUUUUUCGUGGGGGAUAACGUAGGGAAACUUACGCUAAUACCGCAUGCGACCUACGGGUGAAAGCAGGGGAUCUUCGGACCUUGCGCGAUCGAAUGAGCCGAUGUCGGAUUAGCUAGUUGGCGGGGUAAAGGCCCACCAAGGCGACGAUCCGUAGCUGGUCUGAGAGGAUGAUCAGCCACACUGGAACUGAGACACGGUCCAGACUCCUACGGGAGGCAGCAGUGGGGAAUAUUGGACAAUGGGCGCAAGCCUGAUCCAGCCAUACCGCGUGGGUGAAGAAGGCCUUCGGGUUGUAAAGCCCUUUUGUUGGGAUAGAAAAGCAGCAGGUUAAUACCCCGCUGUUCUGACGGUACCCAAAGAAUAAGCACCGGCUAACUUCGUG
rnacentral:rRNA from 1 species